rnacentral:rRNA from 1 species
ACCUCAAAUCAGGCAGGACUACCCGCUGAACUUAAGCAUAUCAAUAAGCGGAGGGAAAA